rnacentral:lncRNA from 1 species
UGAUAUAUCCACUUCCCUAGUCACUCUACUAAAGCAAAUGUCCAACAUAUUGUGUUCCUCAUCUUCAUCAAGAGAGUCCUCACUUAAAUUCACGCAAUCUUCAUCAAGAGAAUCUUCACCCAAAUCAAUUUUAUUUGACAAUAAGGUACUUGACUCAUUCUUCCUUGCAUGCACACAUUUAGGCAUAAAUACAAGAGCUCUGGACUUAAUAUGCUAUUUAGAGCAAGUGAUGAGACUUGUUUUUCUUGGAUCAAAAUCGUGGUCAUUCUCUGUUAACCUUACUUGCUUUCCGGUAGUAUUCAAAAGAAUAUCAAAUCUAUUCGAACAUAAUAGGUCGCUUGAGGCAUUACUAGUAUCUUGCCUCUUCUCACUAUCAUAAAAAUUUACAAUCGAACCCCUUUUACUGCAUGAAGAAUUAAUUUGACUAGCUAGUAGGGAAAAACUCGACUACUAGUUGAUUUUUUGUGUGUAACCAAUGUCCAGUUUUUAGUUGGACUCUCGUUUUUAACUUGCAAAACAUAAUUCCCAGAAUUUUCAGCAUCUUCAACAUCAGAUGUAUCAAUUAUUACUAAUUGAAUUAUAAAUACAUAUUUAAUGGAUUCUUUUUCAUACAAAUACAAGUAAUCGAAUUCGGUCUAAUAUAUACUCCCUCUGUUUCAAAAAAAAUUACCUAGUUUGACUUGGAACGGAGUUAAAGAAAAGAAAGAAGAUUUUUUAAUCUUGUGAUUCUAAAUUAAAGUUAUGUCAAAUGUAUCAAAAUGUCCUUUAAUCUUGUUGUCUUAAACAUGUCAUGUGGAAAGUUAAAGUUAGAGUGUUACCAAAAAAAGAAAGGAAGAUCAUUCUUUUUGAUACAAACUAAAAAGGAAAUAGGGUCAUUCUUUUUUAAACGAAGAUAGUAUAUAAAAAUUUUUUACUCUGUCCUUGCUAUCAUCUAGCUAUAUAUAAAGAGUGUUUUGGAUUAAAUAAGCCAGCGAGUUUCGAAUAUGAGAGGACAUAAAAGAAUUGGAAAUAGGAGGACUCAUAAAUAUUUGCUUUGUGUGUGUCAAAGAAAUUCAAUUUGUAUUUCACAAAUUUAGCAAUUUGAUGGCUAACAUACAAGACAAGAUUGUAAACCAAAUUGACAAAAAUAAAAAGUAAGAAGUAAAGGGUCUUUGUAUCAUGUAAUCAAACACUUGAAUUAUUAGAACAAGAACACAACUUUAUUUGGAUAUUCUCAAAAGAAAGCUAAAGAUUUUGCCCCAUAUACAUAAACACGUGUAUUUAAUUAUACCUUUUUACAACUUUAACCAUUAGACCAUUUUUGACUUGCAUGAUGAUGGAAGUAGUAGGAUAAACAUUUUGUGGUUCCACAACUUGGAUAUUGUAAUUGUGUAUGAUGGUAGCUGCCACAAUUUUCAUCUGAAUAAAUGCCAUUUCUUUCCCUAAACAAGUCCUUGGACCGGCGUUAAACGCUGGAAAUUUGAAAGAUGGCUCAUGUUUGAUUCCUCCACGUUCAGAAAUCCAUCUCUCUGGCUUGAACUCUAGACAAUCUUUCCCCCACAGAGUCUCCAUUCUCCCCAUUACAUAGAAUGGUAGAAUCAUUCUUGUUUUUGGACUAACACGAUGGCCGGUUGGAAGUAUGUCAUGAUCAAGUGGAACUUUGUGCUCUAAAGACACUGAUGGAUACAACCUAAGAGUUUCACACAAAGCACCAUGUAGAUAAAUCAAUUUUCUUGAUUCUUCUUUGGUGAAAAACUUUAGGUUUUCGUCUUCUUUUACAUGCAAUUGUUGUUGAAUCUCUUCUCGUAUCUUUUUCUCUACUAAGGGAUUCUUAGCCAAGAGGACAAAAAACCAAGUGAGAGCUGCACUUGUGGUGUCCUUUCCAGCCAACAUCAAAUUCAAGAAGGUAUCCCUUAGAAAUGUUUGCAAAGUACCCAAAUCUCCACCAUUCCAUUGAUUGUAUACUUUGAUAUACGCGUUUAAAAAUGCAAAUUCCUCCUCUUUGAUUCUACUUUUAUGCAUCAACUCUUCUUGUUUUCGCGCAAUGCAAGGAUAUAUGAAUUGAUCAAAAGCCUCACAUGCAUGCAUGAGCUUCUUCUCUUUACCAAUUCUAAGCCAUUGUUGCAACUUCCAUAGACGUUGUGGCGUUAUGUGUCUAUGUAAAAGUGCAUCAAGGGCAUCACCAAACGCCUUUUCGUAUGGCAAAUAAGGUAAGUCCAUAGACAGGCUUUUUGGAUCAUGAUCAAGUAACAACCUAGUGAUGGAAUCAAAAGUAAAUCUUUGCAAAACAUCUUGCAAAUCCAAUGUUUUGCCUUGUUUUGCAAAAGCAUCAAGAAUUGGUUUAAGCCCUUUCUCAAUUAUGUCCCACAUGGUCUUUUCUAACAACAUUUGGAACUUUGCAUGGCUCAUUAUGGACAUGGUAGUCCUCCUAUGUAGCUCCCAUAGCUCAUGAUCAACAUUGAAGAUCCCAUUACCCAACAUAUCAAAAAUCUUACGAAACUCAGGUCCUUUUGGAUAGUUUGAGAAAUUUUUACUAAAGAUAUAAUGUAUAUUUGCAGGAUCGCAAGUAAAAAACAUGUCCACAUUUGUAAAAAUAGGACCUUUAAAGUCAUAAGUACCACCAUAUUCUAUAAGAACUUCAGUCAUAUAUGCAUGACCGCGAUGAAGAUUCCCAAUAACCCCAGGCAACUCCCUAAGGAUUGGCCAAUUUGUUGGUGCUGAGGUUUUAGUCCUUCUAUAUAUGAUGAACCAUAUAGAAUAAGUAGAACAAAAAAUCAACAAGAAAAGAAGAGAAUAUUCAAGGAAAUCCAUAUUGAUACUAAUUUUGGUAGUGUAUAAUAUAUAUAUUUUUUUUAAAUGUAUACUAAUUCACUAAAAUCUAGUAGAGUUUUAUACAUGUGUUUGGUGAAUUAUGGCCACAAUUUUAAUUGGACUCCAAUUUUUAAGAGCCUAGGAUAGUUAAUUAGUUUGACAUUUAAUGUGUACACGUUGUUGUAAAUUAUUGGCAACUUUAUUUAAUUAGAAGUGACCAUUCAACUAUAUUUAUUUUUAUAUAAUAUAGUGAAGUGGGAGGAUGAUUAAGGACAAAAAUAUAAUUUUAUGCUAAUAAAAAUAUAUUAAGAAAGAUAAUAAAUAAUUCUAGAAACAUAUUUCUAUAUAUGAAGUGAAUAAUGAUCAAGGCCAAAAAUAUAAUUUUAUGCUAACAAAAAUCUACCAAGAAUAUGAUAACAAAUAAAUUAAUGCGUGUGUAUUAUUAUUAAAUGAGCUUUCAUAUAUAUUUUUUUAUAAAAAAUUCGUUUGUCUUCCUUCUAUUAAUUUGUGCGUAUAUGUGGAGUUUUAUAGAUUUGAACAUUUUAAUAUAAAAAUUUAUUGAUUUGAAAACUUUAAUUCUUCGUUUUAAUUUAUAAUUUGUUACAUAUUUGAAAAUUAUAUAAAAAAAACUUAAAAACGCAAUGUAACAAUUUAAGGUAUUUUUAGAAAAACAUAAUGAAAUUUGGUUAACUCCCUUAUUUUUAUUGAACCAAAAAAAAUGUUGCAUAUAUUGUUUGAAAAUAAUGUAAGAACUAAAAAGUAUUAUGAAUCACAGUAAAGUGACAACUAAAAAUAUGUGAGAAUCAUAUAAGUAAUUACGUUGACUUUCCUAAAAUCUCAUAAAAUAAAACAGAUGUAAUAACAUAUAUCAUUCGAAAAGACACAAAAGGUAUAUAAAUUAACAAUUUAAAAUAUUUUUUAAAAACACAUAUAAAAAAUGUAGUUCACUUUUUCAAACUUCAUUCGUAUUACACAAAUUAAAAGAAAAAAACUAACAUACAUUAAGUCUGCGCUAGCGCGAGGACUAUAUAUCUAAUAUUAUAAAAAUAAAAUAAAAACUAUCAAAGAGGUCAUUUUUUUUCUUAAAAAAAGAAUUACAAAUUGCUAACUUCUAGAAAUCAAUUUUUUUUUUUCAAAAAAAGAUCAUAAAUUUUUAAAAAUAAUAAAUAUCAAUGGUCCAGUAGGCAAUGAUAGGAAUGUAGCAUACAUCAAUAGGUGAAGCAAUAGAUAUAAAAAUAGAUGUUAUGUCUCGUAGAAAAUAAAAACUAAUCUACAAAGCUACUUGUCAAUAUUAAACAGCUAUUUACCGUAGAGUUAAUACCUCAUAUGAUCACUUAACUAUACUUUUUUUCCAUAAAGUCACUCAACUUUCAAUUUUAAUUCAAAAGUCACUCAAUUAUGUUAUUUUCUUUUAGAGAGUCACUCAAUUUUGAACUUUAGCUAAAAAGUCACUCAACUAUUAACGCUUUCCUUAGAAAGUCAAUUUAUUUUAUUGUUAUUUAAAUUAAAAUGUGUUGAUAUUAAUUAUUUAUAUAACAAGUCAAAUUUUUUAAAAAAUAAAAAAUACUAUUUAAAUCAUUUAGUGAUCCACCCACCAAACCCGAUCCAUUAGAAAAUAUAAUAUCAAUGGGUCAUAUAAUAUUUUUUAAUGGAUCGAAUUAGGUGGGUGGAUCACUAAAUAGUUUAAAUGAUAUUUUUUAAUUUUAAAAAAAAAUUGAUUUGUUAUAUAAACAAUUAAUAUCAACAAAUUUUAAUUUUAAAAAAUUAAAUAAAUUGAGUGACUUUUUGAGGGAAGAGUUAAUAGUUGAGCGACUUUUAAGUUAAAAUUCAAAGUUGAAUAACUUUCUGAGAUCUUGUUUUUUUUGGUUUUCCACUCAGUGUUCGGAGCUCACAUAAAAUUCAGAUUGCGCACUGCAUGGCCCAUACAGGGGGGCGUUUCCAAUAGGAUUUUCUCCAUACCCAGGUCUCGAACCCAAGACCUUUGAUUAAGGGUGAAACACUAUCACCAUUGCACCACAACCCAUGUUGGUAACAUGCGUUGUUUUCAUUUUCUCUUUCCCUCUUCCAUUUUAGUUGCUUUUAUUUUAAUUAGUUGUUGACACUCAAUUUUGACCCUCACCAUCAUAAAUUAAUUAACAAGCCUC